rnacentral:rRNA from 1 species
AGUGAACGCUGGCGGUAGGCCUAACACAUGCAAGUCGAACGGCAGCACAGUAAGAGCUUGCUCUUACGGGUGGCGAGUGGCGGACGGGUGAGGAAUACAUCGGAAUCUACUUUUUCGUGGGGGAUAACGUAGGGAAACUUACGCUAAUACCGCAUACGACCUACGGGUGAAAGCAGGGGAUCUUCGGACCUUGCGCGAUUGAAUGAGCCGAUGUCGGAUUAGCUAGUUGGCGGGGUAAAGGCCCACCAAGGCGACGAUCCGUAGCUGAUCUGAGAGGAUGAUCAGCCACACUGGAACUGAGACACGGUCCAGACUCCUACGGGAGGCAGCAGUGGGGAAUAUUGAACAAUGGGCGCAAGCCUGAUCCAGCCAUACCGCGUGGGUGAAGAAGGCCUUCGGGUUGUAAAGCCCUUUUGUUGGGAAAGAAAAGCAGCAGGUUAAUACCCCGCUGUUCUGACGGGACCCAAAGAAUAAGCACCGGCUAACUUCGU